GCUCCGUUAGCUCAGUCGGUAGAGCAUUUGACUUUUAAUCAAAGGGUCUGGAGUUCGAAUCUCCAACGGGGCA
rnacentral:tRNA from 1 species